rnacentral:rRNA from 1 species
CCUACGGGUGGCAGCAGUAGGGAAUUUUCGGCAAUGGGGGGAACCCUGAACGAGCAACGCCGCGUGAACGAAGAAGUUAUUCGUAAUGUAAAGUUCUUUUAACAGGGAAGAAAGAGAAAUUUGAUGGUACCUGAAGAAUAAGCCCCGGCUAACUACGUGCCAGCAGCCGCGGUAAUACGUAGGGAGCGAGCGUUAUCCGGAAUCAUUGGGCGUAAAGGGUGCGUAGAUGGCAUAGUAAGUCUUUUGUAAAAAUGCUGGGCUAAACCCAGUAGGGCAAAAGAUACUGCAAAGCUAGAGUAUGAGAGAGGCAAGUGGAACUACAGGUGUAGCGGUAAAAUGCGUAGAUAUAUGUAAGAACACCAAUUGCGAAGGCGGCUUGCUGGGUCGAUACUGACGUUGAGGCACGAAAGCGUGGGGAGCAAACAGGAUUAGAUACCCCAGUAGUC